rnacentral:rRNA from 1 species
CCUACGGGUGGCAGCAGUGAGGAAUAUUGGUCAAUGGGCGGGAGCCUGAACCAGCCAAGUCGCGUGAGGGAAGACGGUCCUACGGAUUGUAAACCUCUUUUGCCGGGGAGCAACGGGGUCCUUGCGAGGGCCCAAUGAGAGUACCCGGAGAAAAAGCACCGGCUAACUCCGUGCCAGCAGCCGCGGUAAUACGGAGGAUGCGAGCGUUAUCCGGAUUUAUUGGGUUUAAAGGGAGCGUAGGUGGAUUUUUAAGUCAGUUGUGAAAGUUUGCGGCUCAACCGUAAAAUUGCAGUUGAAACUGGCAGUCUGGAGUACAGUAGAGGUGGGCGGAAUGCGUGGGGUAGCGGUGAAAUGCUUAGAUAUCACGAAGAACUCCGAUUGCGAAGGCAGUUCACUGGACUGCAACUGACACUGAGGCUCGAAAGUGUGGGUAUCAAACAGGAUUAGAUACCCCAGUAGUC